AGAAGGAACACUUCGGCAACUCAAAUACACCGCUUUCCUACAUCUUCUAGAUUAGAAUAAACGCCGCUUUAUUGCCUCAUUAUCUUCCGUUAGAAUGCUUGUCUGUCGCUUCUUCUUCUUCUUCAACGAUCUCUUCGCGCCCAAGGUAGAUUCAUUUUACUGCCUCAUUGUCUGCCAUUACAGUUUUCCCUUCGCUGCUGCUGCUUCUUCUUCUACGGCGAUCUCUCUGCCUCCCAAGCCACUUCUGCUGCAAUAGCAUGAUCAACAAUGUCCGAUUUGAAUGUACAAAGGCCACCCUCAUUAUGAUGUAAUUACCAAAACCUACACGAGAUCAAAAAAUAUCAAUGAGACGAUUUUACCGUUUUCACGAUACAAUAAAAACUUAAUGAGAUGCGCACUCCUACAAGUUGGUGGACCAUUGCAGCGGUAUUGUGGACUAUUACAAGACAAUAUAGGAAGAGAACUUUCGUUAUUUUCGGAAUACUAAAAAAUAGAGUUAGAGCCCGUUUGGAUAGACUUAAAAAAAGUAACUUUUAUGUAUAAAGUGCUGAAAGUUAUUUUUAUAAAUAAGCAGUUGAGUGUUUGGAUAAAAGUGCUUAUGAUGUGAAUUUUAGGGUUAAAAGAAUAAAAAAAUGUAGUUUGAGAAUUUAGUUAAAAUAUAAAGGAUAUAAAAGUAAUUUCCAUGGUCAAAGAAAAUGACUUUAAGCACUUUGAAAAAAAAAGUUAGAAAUCCUAACUUUUCAUUUCUGACUGACUUUAAGAACUUUAUGGCUUAAAGUCAGCAUUUAGGCAAACACGUCCAAAAGCUAAAAACCAACUUAAAGCCAAUCCAAACGGGCUCUUAAUCUUUUGUCUAGAUUGAUGGAUGCUAUUGUCCAAUUGUCCUCUUCAUGUAUAACAGGCCAUUAUGGGAGGAUCUCUUCAGUUCAUUGUUGGAGAGAACGAUGCUAAAUUUAAGAACAUUGCUCAAAAGAUGCGUGAAACAAUGAGCCAAAGCACAGAGACUACGAACGUUCCAGAAAUUGUUGAAAUUCCAUAUUCUGGUCCUGCUGCACAUAUAGAGAAUCUUCUCACUGUGAUCAAUAAGUCAGUUUAUCAGAGAAGUUGAGUUCAAAUCAUAAUCAAGUUCAUUUUCAACAUUUAUCACUCACUUGAAAGAACAAACAAUAUUAGAUCGAAGAAAUAUUUUCAUGGUUACUAUGGCUUCAAUUGGAGUCUGGUUCUUUCUCCUGUCAUAUUUAUCCACAACUAGCAUCGUCUCUCCGGAGCAAGCAAUGUCAAUAAUGUAAACUUCGCUUCCUGGAAGAUAGACUUGGAGCGUACUGCUGUCUGGAAAGAGCGUCAUGGGCUCAUAUGGCUGAUGAAUAUUCAGAUCAGAGAUAGAAGAGUAUAACAUUAUCAACAAUAUGUAGGUGCACUGGAUAUUUAGAUUGUUCUUUACACCGUCCACGUUUUGUUUGUUUGUUGAAUCUAUUGAUAAGAUUUUGUAAGAAAAAAAUAAAAAUUGUACGAAUACAUCACA